GAGAUGGGACCAUUUUUAUCAAACAGAAUCAAGCUUUCUUCAAAUCUUGCAACUUUAAGGAGACUCCCAAUGGAACUCUAUCUACUUGAACUAGCUCAAAUAUCUUCCUAAUCAAGCUUUCUUUUUUUUGUAAACGAAGGAUUCUUCAUGGACUUCAAAAGCUUUCAGCUCUCAAUCAGUUCCUUAAUGGGGAGAACGAGGGAAGAAAGGAUUGUCUAAAGUGAUCUAUGUGAAUGAACAGCUCAUUCUUCAACUUGGAUGUUGGAAUGACAGCAGAAAGAUUCUUGGAUUGGAAAACACUGAACAAAAUGGGUAAUAAGGAGCUGAAACCUAUGAUUCCCAGCAAAGAAAGAAAUCAAGCAGAAGCAACUGGAUGAACUGGGAAGAUUUCAUAAUCUACUUGUGGACCCUGAUGAAUUCCUUGUGGCCUCUUCUUACAGAGAAGGGGUUCUUGACCUCCUUUGUGUCAUGGGGACCUUCGACCACCUGGUGAAACCUGAAAACCUUCCCUCAGAAUCAUGUUUUUAAAUG